AUUGAACGCUGGCGGCAGGCUAACACAUGCAAGUCGAGCGGAGAUGAGGUGCUUGCACCUUAUCUUAGCGGCGGACGGGUGAGUAAUGCUUAGGAAUCUGCCUAUUAGUGGGGGACAACAUUCCGAAAGGAAUGCUAAUACCGCAUACGUCCUACGGGAGAAAGCAGGGGAUCUUCGGACCUUGCGCUAAUAGAUGAGCCUAAGUCGGAUUAGCUAGCUGGUGGGGUAAAGGCCUACCAAGGCGACGAUCUGUAGCGGGUCUGAGAGGAUGAUCCGCGACACUGGGACUGAGACACGGCCCAGACUCCUACGGGAGGCAGCAGUGGGGAAUAUUGGACAAUGGGGGGAACCCUGAUCCAGCCAUGCCGCGUGUGUGAAGAAGGCCUUAUGGUUGUAAAGCACUUUAAGCGAGGAGGAGGCUACUGAGACUAAUACUCUUGGAUAGUGGACGUUACUCGCAGAAUAAGCACCGGCUAACUCUGUGCCAGCCGCCGCCGUAAUAC
rnacentral:rRNA from 1 species